AGCAGCCGCGGUAAUUCCAGCUCCAAUAGCGUAUAUUAAAGUUGUUGCAGUUAAAAAGCUCGUAGUUGAAUUUCGGGGUCAGUAGGUCGGUCGUGCCACUGGUAUGAACUGGUUUCACUGAUUCCUCCCUCUUGUAGAACCGUGAUGCCAUUAAUUUGGUGUUGCGGGGAAACAGGACUGUUACUUUGAAAAAAUUAGAGUGUUUAAAGCAAGCUAACGCUUGAAUACAUUAGCAUGGAAUAAUGAAAUAGGACGUCUGUCUUAUUUUGUUGGUUUCUAGGAUGGACGUAAUGAUUAAUAGGGAUAGUUGGGGGCAUUAGUAUUCAACUGUCAGAGGUGAAAUUCUUGGAUUUAUUGAAGACUAACUACUGCGAAAGCAUUUGCCAAGGAUGUUUUCAUUAAUCAAGAACGAAGGUUAGGGGAUCGAAGACGAUCAGAUACCGUCGUAGUCUUAACCAUAAACUAUGCCGACUAGGGAUCGGAUGAUGUUAAUUUUUUAAUGACUCAUUCGGCGCCUUAC
rnacentral:rRNA from 1 species